rnacentral:rRNA from 1 species
UGCAGUCGAGCGGACGGAUGGGAGCUUGCUCCCUGAAGUCAGCGGCGGACGGGUGAGUAACACGUGGGCAACCUGCCUGUAAGACUGGGAUAACUUCGGGAAACCGGAGCUAAUACCGGAUAAUGCAUAACCUCUCAUGAGGCUAUGCUGAAAGAUGGUUUCGGCUAUCACUUACAGAUGGGCCCGCGGCGCAUUAGCUAGUUGGUGAGGUAACGGCUCACCAAGGCAACGAUGCGUAGCCGACCUGAGAGGGUGAUCGGCCACACUGGGACUGAGACACGGCCCAGACUCCUACGGGAGGCAGCAGUAGGGAAUCUUCCGCAAUGGACGAAAGUCUGACGGAGCAACGCCGCGUGAGUGAUGAAGGUUUUCGGAUCGUAAAACUCUGUUGUCAGGGAAGAACAAGUGCCGGAGUAACUGCCGGCACCUUGACGGUACCUGACCAGAAAGCCACGGCUAACUACGUGCCAGCAGCCGCGGUAAUACGUAGGUGGCAAGCGUUGUCCGGAAUUAUUGGGCGUAAAGCGCGCGCAGGCGGUCUCUUAAGUCUGAUGUGAAAGCCCACGGCUCAACCGUGGAGGGUCAUUGGAAACUGGGGGACUUGAGUGCAGAAGAGGAAAGUGGAAUUCCACGUGUAGCGGUGAAAUGCGUAGAGAUGUGGAGGAACACCAGUGGCGAAGGCGACUUUCUGGUCUGUAACUGACGCUGAGGCGCGAAAGCG